CCUACGGGUGGCAGCAGUGAGGAAUAUUGGUCAAUGGACGAGAGUCUGAACCAGCCAAGUAGCGUGAAGGAUGAAUGUCCAACGUGUUGUAAACUUCUUUUGUAUGGGAAUAAAGCAGGGUACUCAUACCCGCUUGUGUGUACCAUAUGAAUAAGCAUCGGCUAACUCCGUGCCAGCAGCCGCGGUAAUACGGAGGAUUCGAGCGUUAUCCGGAUUUAUUGGGUUUAAAGGGUGCGCAGGCGGCGAUGCAAGUCAGGGGUGAAAGCCCGGGGCCCAACCCCCGGACUGCGUUUGGAACUGGGUGGCUAGAGUGGAGGAGAGGCACGCGGAAUGCGCGGUGUAGCGGUGAAAUGCGUAGAUAUCACGCGGAACACCGGUGGCGAAGGCGGCCUGCCGGCCUGAAACUGACGUUGAGGCACGAAAGCGUGGGGAUCGAACAGGAUUAGAUACCCUAGUAGUC
rnacentral:rRNA from 1 species